rnacentral:rRNA from 1 species
CAGUCGCCGCGGGAAUACAGAGGGUGCGAGCGUUAAUCGGAUUUACUGGGCGUAAAGCGUGCGUAGGCGGCUUUUUAAGUCGGAUGUGAAAUCCCCGAGCUUAACUUGGGAAUUGCAUUCGAUACUGGGAAGCUAGAGUAUGGGAGAGGAUGGUAGAAUUCCAGGUGUAGCGGUGAAAUGCGUAGAGAUCUGGAGGAAUACCGAUGGCGAAGGCAGCCAUCUGGCCUAAUACUGACGCUGAGGUACGAAAGCAUGGGGAGCAAACAGGAUUAGAUACCCGGGUAGUCCCUGUCUCUUAUAC